rnacentral:rRNA from 1 species
UACGAGGGGUGCAAGCGUUGCUCGGAAUUAUUGGGCGUAAAGGGUUGGUAGGUGGUCUUGUUUGUCUAGGGUGAAAUCCCAUGGCUUAACUGUGGAAGUGCCCUAGAAACGGCAAGACUAGAGUCCUAGAGGGGUUUGUGGAAUUCCCGGUGUAGCGGUGAAAUGCGUAGAGAUCGGGAGGAACACCAGCGGCGAAGGCGGCAAACUGGAUAGGCACUGACACCCAACAACGAAAGCGUGGGGAGCAAACAGG